CCAGCAGCCAGUGCUCCCAAUUCUAAUACUUACAAGCAACAUCUGAACACCACACCUGGCUCUACUGGGAAUAACACAAGGAAGGCAGGAAACUGUACAGCCUGGAGACACUCCAGUCAGAAGGGAGUGAGACGCAGGUCUCCAGCCAAGAGAGGCAAUGUCAAGAGUUGGAAGCCUGAGAGUGGGUGUCCUUGCUGGACCACUGAGAGGAAAAAAAAGGGGCAGUUGCUCUGAACUGAGACAGCACUCAGAAUAACACACAACAGAUAGAACAGCUUGUCUGCACCUUGCAAGCCUUGAUUUGUGUGAUUAGUUAAUGGGACUCCUCAUCUGACAAAAGCAUUGCAGCAUCAGAACCUUCAUCUGCAUUAUAGGAAACAAGACCUGUUCAUUUCAAAGCUUAGAAAAUCCUCAAUCUCUUAAUUUGAAAUUUUAAAAUAGAAAUCAUCCAGUUUCUGGUUUAAAAUGUGCAAAUUGAUUUUUAAUCUCUCUGGCAUCUUUAUGCUAGAUUACUACUCUGUUUUUCUUAAGGUGGGUGAUUUGGAAAAUGGCAUAAUUGUUUUAACACAACAUUUUUAGUAAGAGCCCACAUUUUAAGGCAAAUCUAGUUGCUUAACAUGCUAAAAUAUACUUUUUUUUCUUCUA